CCCUCCCUGCUCUUUCUGUCUCUCUCAAAAAUAAAUAUUUUUUGAAAAGCCCUAAUUAUUCUUGUCUUGUGGUUUUAGAAGAGAGACAGACUGAGUAUGUGUGUUCAUUUCAGUGCCUUUAGCAGGAAGUCAACGUGGACCCCUUAAGCAUCUCCAGGGCAGGGCCGGCCCGUCCACGUUUGGUGGCAGGCCUGUGGUGGCGAGCGGUAACUGGCAUUCUCUCAUUUCUAAGGCGUGAUAUAUAUUUAGAUUCUCUCAGCAGAGAUGUUGGCUUUCUUGUUAACGCUGCCGCAGCCGCUGCCUCUUCUUAGUUAAAGGCUUUCAUCUCAGAUAUAAAAUACCAACAAACUUAUAAAUAAUUGGGCUUUGAGACAAAAAAUAAGAAUCCUUAAAACAAAAGAAAGCUCUUUAUUGAUGUUUCUGAAAGCAGUUUUCAGAGGGCAAGCGUAUAAUCCUUAGAUUAAAAUGCAGCUGACACCUUAAGCCUUCUUACAGGGAACGGGGAUAAUGGGCUUUAAUGCCGUUUGUCCUUGACCACCCACAGAGGGCACUCCUCGGCCGGCCAGAGAGACGCGCAAAUCGGGCCCAGAGAGCCAGGCCGUGUUUGUGGCUUUGAUCCCUAGUAAAUGCUUCCCCAAAGCCUUCAAGCUCGGGCCGUCAGACAGGUUGCCAGAGAGCGGCUGAAAAACACUGGGAAAAAAGGAGCUUUAGCUCUGCUAGCAGGUCUCCGCUGGGAUUGGGCGGUUUUUAGGAGGGCAGUGUGGUUCUUUUAAUACCGGCCAGCUGACCCCGGAUCGGCACCGGUGUGCUCCCGGGGACGCGUGCACUUGCUUGCCGUCUUCCCCGCCUGGGGGGCGCGUCCUCGGUCCUCCCUGCUCACUGGAGCACGGCCCCUUCAGGGGAAGGCAGGCCUGCCCCGCCUGAUAACCCGAGAGAGGGUCGCUCGGCCCCGGUGGCCGCCGGAUGACGGAGUUCCGGCAGAGGGCCCUGCGCUGGCCGCAGACUUCGUCCCCGGAAGGGGAAGCGAGACGGACAGCUCUACGUGUGCUGAUUGCCGUGGGAGCCUGCCGACGUCCUGGUGCACUUCUGGGAGGGCCGUGUGCGGAACCGAGAGACCGCUUUCCACGUGAGAGCUUGGGCUCGGUAUUGCUCCGUCAGCCUUUGAGGAAAUCGGAUUCGUGGGCUUCCUGGGUUUGGAAAGUCACCGACUCUUCGUAUUAAAGCCACGGACGGUCUGGGGGCAGUUUUCCUUCCUGUCCUGACUGUCCUGAGGUUGGACUAAAGCACCUAGGAAGCACCGUCCUGCAGCGAUGCCUGGCUCUUUGUGCUCUUUAAAAACAUGGAAUGUCAGCGCAUGGCGGCUUCUUGUGGGUGAGAGUGCAUCAGCCACUCCUGUCGUCCCUGCGCUCGUUCCCCGGCCCCCCUCCCGGGCCGUGUCCCCGUCUCUCACCGUGCGUGGUGCUGCCUGGAUUCUGGGAGCCGCGUCUGUGACUUAGCGGACGGGGGCCGCAGCUUGGGGUGCGGAGGGGACCGUGUGGGUGGCGCUGGGUCAGCUGACUGACGCCCAGCCGAGGUCUCCUGGGGUUUGUCAUCCUCCUCGAUGACCAGACUUGAUGCCUCUGCGACUCGUCCGCUUCGGAGGCUCUGGCCCGAGCGCAAGCGAAACCUUUCCUUGGUGACCCUCUGCUCAACUGGAGUGCCCUGAAGCACCUGGAAGACUUUUUUGUUUUAAAUCCUGAGGGUCGGCAAAGGAAAACAAACCCUUGUUAAAAAUCAAAAGCAGAACUGCAACUGUUCCUCGCAGAAAAUACCCAUUCAGAUCUUGGCCAGAGCUGGUCGGCUCCCAGGGUGUGAGGCCCCAGGUCUGUGCAGUGUUUGUAUAUGCCAGACCGAGAGUCAAGGACGAAGCGAACUGUUCUCGUUUCCAGGCGAUUUCGAUUGUAUGCCCACAGGGCAACCGGCACUUAGGGUUCCGCUCUGAGGGCGCUUGGUGUGCAUUUGCGAUGAUACGUAUCCAGCACCUUCUCCCGGGAGACGUGGAUCACCUGUGUGCGUUACAGUGUGAUGGGCGGUGCCACGGAAAGUGAGUUCAAUUCCCGAGAUAGGUGAUUCUUUUGUGUUUCAGAAAACACGGGAGACGGGCCGGAGCUCUGUCGUUUGUGAUUUCAGAUUGCCAUGAAUAGGCCCCCUCAUCUGGGUGAGAAUUUUCGCUGCUGUGGAGAAACUUGCCCUUCGGACAGAGUGUGAAUGAAAUACUCUAUCCACUGUGGCCCCCCCCCGCCGCCGUUGGAGGCGGAUGAGAAGAAAGAGUGGCGUUUAUGGGAUUCGGCUGUUCUGCUGGAAGGGGGUGUAUCCUCCAGCUGCAGCUGGGGACUGCGGGGACGGAGUGACUGAGCGGCCCCGAGAUCAGUGUACUGGCCGAGGGGCUCAGAGGCUGCUGGCUUCGCACACAAAACCCCAGCGUCCGAUGGCUCGUGUGGAGGCCACGGUUGUGACAUCGGAGACGUCAGCUGUCGAGUCCGUGACGAGGGUGAUCUGGCCGUGUUUCUGUUUAAAGAGAUUGGAAGGAAGACUGAUGCAGAAAAAUACCAACAUGGUUCAGGUACAUCGCUGAGAUUUUGGGGGUUGCACGAAAGCGUCUGGUUGGGCGAGUUCUGAAAGAAGAGACAAGGCCCUGCCCGAGGAAGCCUACCCGAGAGUAACUGCAAAGGAGCCUGUCAGUAGCUGCAGAACAGCGGCAGUUGGAGGCCUUCUGUGCUGCGGUGGCAACCGGUUCCUCUCCCCUGCGCAGCUGCUUCCAAAGUACUUGGGCCACCCAAGCACACAGGUAAGGGCCACGUUUUAUAGGAAUCUCAAAACCUACAAAAUAUGCACACCUCGAAAUUUCAGGUAUGCGGUGUCAGUGGAACUAUAAGGGAAAUUCCUUUUUGUUUCUAAAUGUAUUUUUCCCCUGGUACUACAUCGAUAAGCUCAAAUAACAAAAUACAAACCACCACGCAGAGGUAGACACCAAGAGAUAAUAUUUCGAUCCUUCCAGAUUUUAGUCCUAGGAGUGAGUAGAUUUAUUAAAAAGAACAGAAUUAGAACGAUAGUGUUCUGGAUCCAUUUUUAUUUAUGGCUUCAGUGUUUUCCCCAUGGUUUAAAAUUUUCUUUUGCAACAUGCUUAAAAGGGGCUGAAAAGUGUUCUGUGUGGGUAAUACCAGAAGUGAUCCCAUCCUGUUACUUGAUAGACCUAAUCCUUUUUCAGUUCAGUUAGUACCUCUCCAAAUCAGGCCACGGUGAUGGGAGAGUAUUAAAAUAAACAUAAUUGCCAAAAGCUUUCCUGCGUCCUGUAAAAUAACUAAUGAUGGUUAAGUCUAGGGGAUGAGGGGCGCCUGGGUGGCUCAGUCGGUUGAGCGUCCAGCUUCAGCCGAGGGUCAUGAUCUCGCAGUU